rnacentral:tmRNA from 1 species
GGGCUUGUACUGGUUUCGACGGGGGUUUUGAAGUUUGGGAAGCCAUCCGCGGACUCCGGGACCGCGCACCAACCUGGAACCUAAAAUUAAACGCAGAUAACGAAGAUUACGCGUUAGCUGCUGCUUAAGCAGCUUGUCGGACCUGCAGUUCCCGCGCUGUGGAAUCCGGCAUCAAAAAAGGCGGGGCACUUUUUCUCCUAAGCUUUGCGGAGAAAAAAGAAUCCAUGAAGCUACUGAAGGCAGGAGCCUGUCAUCCGGCGCCUGACGGAGGGAAUGAUAAAAGAAUGACUGUGAUGGGAGAUGCCUGAAUGGAUAGGCUUUCGGACGCGGGUUCGAUUCCCGCCAGGUCCAUAA